rnacentral:sRNA from 1 species
GCCGAAUAUGUCAUUGCAACCAACCCAUUUCCUCUGCUCCCUUGCCUCCCAGUAACCUCCGACAUAACGGAAUGUUCCAUCCUCUGUGUCCCUUUGGAACCAUCUUGGCUUCCAACCACUCUCCUGCAUCUUCCUUGCCUGUAGAGGAAGAGAUAACCGCUGCAGCGCAAUUUUUCAGAGUUAGCCUUUUCGUACUCCCCAUUCUCUAGAUGCCGCUGAUCUGGCCUGAGCGAAUUAUAUGCUUUGCGCAUACCUUAAGACCUGGUGUCAACUCGUUCAAAGUGAUUGCAAAUGAUGACAGGUUAUAUCGAGUGGGAUUGGCUGGAGGCACAUUUUUCUCCCACAAUAAAGUGGCACCCGUACUCUGAUUUGCAUUACGGGAGUUCACUUUAGAAGCAUCAUCACCAAUGAUGCAAGACAUGCUCUCGUCCCACUUUCCCAUCAAGAAUGCAACUUUGGUCCCAUUAGCAUCCGUAACAAGUCCUUGAACCUUUCAUACGACCAUACAUUUUAGAUUGCUCUUUGAAAGUCAGCUUACAUGAAUAUUGCCUGUUUCCACUUAUGUUCAUCGUGCCAUGGUGAUGGCAAUAGACUCGGCCAAUGAUAAGGUUAUUAAUUAAUUUGUACCUUACUCCACUGGAAAGUUUCUCCAUCAUCAAACUGUAGAGUUAGCACACCGCUAGGAUCGAGUUGAAUGGACUGCCCCCAAAAUUUGCUCUUUAGAUUGCUGUCACCCCAAAAUUUCCAACCUUUCCCUUCACAAUGGCAUGCCAUGACCAUCGGAUGAUGACUAACCUGAGAAGAAACGGAUCCCUUUUUCAGGAUAAUCAGCUUCGUAUGUUUCCCCCAACAAUGGAUUGAAAGGUUUGCAGGGGCGAGAAUCCGUGGAAGCAUAUCCAGAGACAGCAAAUGCAGCAACAUAAAGAAUUCUCAUCAGCCCUAAAUUGGAAUACUCCAAAUCUUCAAAGCACUUUUGAAGAGAAGACAAUGGUUCAUUAAAGUAAACAGGAAGACAGACUCUUGUAAGAUCCUUGCCAACAUUAUCUUUGAUCAUUGACCAAAGGCUAACACCUUUCUCCUUUUCUAUUGGUACGGGUAACUCUGAACGGCGUUUUGAAGAUGACAAUAAGUAUUCAUUCGUCUUGUCGAUAGCUAGUAAUUCACCAAACUUGUGAGCUCCACUCCCACUAUUUGAACAUCUCAUUUUCAAGUCAGGACUUGCAGCAGUGUCACUGAAACUUUGCCUUGUAUCAUAGAAAUGAAACUCAUCCUCAUCUGACAACUGCCCUACCUCUUGUUUGCCAGCAUCAUCAGAAGAUUCAGUGUUGCUGUACUCUGAUAUAAUAAAAAUAAAAAUAUCAGAAAAUAGCCAUGUUUCAAACCUCUCUUGCUUAUAUAAAUCACUAAAUGAGCUCUAAGAACGAAUUACCUCAAGUUCCCUUGGAAGACUGCCAAUGAAGUUUAAAUAGUCUUCACACCGUUGCUUCAUCUGAGUGUGAUACUGUGAAAAUUCUGAGUGAAUGAUCUGUUCACAGUCUUUAAUAGUUGCCUCUCCAACACCUUCAGCAUGCAAGCGAUUCCUAAGCUUUUCAGUGGAAAAUGAUCCCUCAUUCUGGUCACACGGUACACCCCCGUUAAGAGAAUAUUCACUCCUCGCAGAAACAAGUGCUUCAAUCCAAGCCACACGGUCCUUAGCAGAGCCAGUCCUCAGCUGAAGCGUCUUGGUUGGGGUAAUGAUGUAGAACCGUUUAUCAUCCGAUUUACUUUCGCUAAAUGAUGAGAUCUACAAACAAUUCAAAAGAAUUACAGAAUCAGCAACCAGAGUAGCAACAGUACACCAAAAUGCAAUCUCUUCAUCAAAUGCACAUCUACCUGACGCCGUUGGCUGCGGCGGCGGCGGCGGCCUCGGGAGGCGGCUCGGCGGCGACGCGGCGGCGGAUCUUGGAGUAGGCCAGGACGCCGCCCCGGAUCGCGAACCACCGCGGCCGCCACCCCUUCCCGAUGUUGGUCCACUUGUACAGCACCCCCG